rnacentral:sRNA from 1 species
CGAGUAUCGAUGAAGAACGCAGCUAGCUGCGAUAAAUAGUGCGAAUUGCAGACACAUUGAGCACUAAAAAUUCGAACGCACAUUGCGCCAUCGGGUUCAUUCCCGUUGGCACGUCUGGCUGAGGGUUGAAUUAUUGAAAGAGUUGCCAUUUAUGAAUUUUCAACAUUCAUAGAGAAUGGCACGUAUAUUCGAUAAGCUAUGAUAGUGGACAAAUGAGAAGUACUAUCGUACCUUAUUUAGCUAAUCUAUGAUUCAAUAUCUCGUUGUAAUUUGCUUAAACGAGAUGAGAGAGAGAAUAUAUACAUCAAAACGCUCUUAAAAGACGAUUCCAGCGUAUAUUGUGUGAAUGGCAUAGUUGGAAAGAAAGAUGAGCGUGACAAUAAUGAUGUAUAUGAAAAAUUUUUUGACCUCAGCUCAGUCGUGAAUACCCGCUGAACUUAAGCAUAU